GACGAACGCUGGCGGCGUGCCUAAUACAUGCAAGUCGAACGCACAGUUUAUACCGUAGCUUGCUACACCAUAGACUGUGAGUUGCGAACGGGUGAGUAACGCGUAGGUAACCUGCCUGGUAGCGGGGGAUAACUAUUGGAAACGAUAGCUAAUACCGCAUAAUAUUAAUUAUUGCAUGAUAAUUAAUUGAAAGGUGCAAUUGCACCACUACCAGAUGGACCUGCGUUGUAUUAGCUAGUAGGUGAGGUAACGGCUCACCUAGGCGACGAUACAUAGCCGACCUGAGAGGGUGAUCGGCCACACUGGGACUGAGACACGGCCCAGACUCCUACGGGAGGCAGCAGUAGGGAAUCUUCGGCAAUGGACGAAAGUCUGACCGAGCAACGCCGCGUGAGUGAAGAAGGUUUUCGGAUCGUAAAGCUCUGCUGUAAGAGAAGAACGGGUGUGAGAGUGGAAAGUUCACACUGUGACGGUAUCUUACCAGAAAGGGACGGCUAACUACGUG
rnacentral:rRNA from 1 species